AGCAGUCGCCGCGGUAAUACAUAGGUGGCAAGCGUUGUCCGGAAUUAUUGGGCGUAAAGCGCGCGCAGGCGGAUCAGUCAGUCUGUCUUAAAAGUUCGGGGCUUAACCCCGUGAUGGGAUGGAAACUGCCAAUCUAGAGUAUCGGAGAGGAAAGUGGAAUUCCUAGUGUAGCGGUGAAAUGCGUAGAUAUUAGGAAGAACACCAGUGGCGAAGGCGACUUUCUGGACGAAAACUGACGCUGAGGCGCGAAAGCCAGGGGAGCGAACGGGAUUAGAUACCCCCGUAGUCCCUGUCUCUUAUACA
rnacentral:rRNA from 1 species